rnacentral:misc_RNA from 1 species
UUGCUGCUGCCGAGGUCCGUGCUGUGUGAAGGACGAGGACCGGAAACGGCUGAUGAAGAAAUACGCCAUAUAGAAGAAGCCCGAGUGUUCACGAGCGUCUGUGUUUGCUUAAACAAUGUGUUGAACUAUCUCAUGUUUGUGUACAUUAUUUACAGAACAUAUGUAAAAUUUUACUCAUUCUGGUAAAGACAGUAUGCGCAAUAUGAUAAUGUUUCACGGCUUAGGACACGAAAAUGUCUAUCAAUUCUCGAAACUGUAUUUAGGUAUUUACAUGUGUAUUUUAUUCUUUUAUUUUAGAUUUAAGUUUUAAUAAUUAAUGUUCAUACACAUGUACAAUUUGAAUUGUGUGCAUGUAAAUGUACUUUAUGUACCGUCACGUUGACGGUUUGAGUGAAAUAGAUUGAAUUAUAUUGGGUAGUUUUAAUUUGAAGGAAAUAACUGGCCAUGACGAGAUGGAAGAUGUUGUACUAUAGUAUUUAUUAUAGAUUGUUCCUAUUUAUUAUUAUAUUGACCAUUAUUUCUUUAUUUAAUGGUAAUUGUACUUGAUAAUUGAUGAAUAUCUUUAUAUUAAAUGAAAAAAA